rnacentral:tRNA from 1 species
GAGGUGGUAGUGCAGUGGUAGUAGGCUUGUUCAGUGUACAGGAGGUCUUGGGUUCGAUUGCUAAGCCUCCCCC